GACGAACGCUGGCGGCGUGCUUAACACAUGCAAGUCGAACGGAAAGGCCCUGCUUUUGUGGGGUGCUCGAGUGGCGAACGGGUGAGUAACACGUGAGUAACCUGCCCUUGACUUUGGGAUAACUUCAGGAAACUGGGGCUAAUACCGGAUAGGAGCUCCUGCUGCAUGGUGGGGGUUGGAAAGUUUCGGCGGUUGGGGAUGGACUCCCGGCUUAUCAGCUUGUUGGUGGGGUAGUGGCUUACCAAGGCUUUGACGGGUAGCCGGCCUGAGAGGGUGACCGGCCACAUUGGGACUGAGAUACGGCCCAGACUCCUACGGGAGGCAGCAGUGGGGAAUAUUGCACAAUGGGCGGAAGCCUGAUGCAGCAACGCCGCGUGCGGGAUGACGGCCUUCGGGUUGUAAACCGCUUUCGCCUGUGACGAAGCGUGAGUGACGGUAAUGGGUAAAGAAGCACCGGCUAACUACGUG
rnacentral:rRNA from 1 species